rnacentral:rRNA from 1 species
AUUGAACGCUGGCGGCAGGCCUAACACAUGCAAGUCGAACGGUAACAGGGAGCAGCUUGCUGCUUCGCUGACGAGUGGCGGACGGGUGAGUAAUGUCUGGGAAACUGCCUGAUGGAGGGGGAUAACUACUGGAAACGGUAGCUAAUACCGCAUAACGUCGCAAGACCAAAGAGGGGGGACCUUCGGGCCGUCUUGCCAUCAGAUGUGCCCACGAUGGGAUUAG